rnacentral:misc_RNA from 1 species
UACAGAGGGCGCAAACGUUGCUCGGAAUUACUGGGCGUAAAGCGCGUGUAGGCGGCCAUGCAAGUCGGAUGUGAAAUCCCGCGGCUCAACCGCGGAAGUGCACCCGAAACUGCGUGGCUAGAGUCCCGGAGAGGAAGGUGGAAUGCUUGGUGUAGAGGUGAAAUUCGUAGAUAUCAAGCGGAACACCGGUGGCGAAGGCGGCCUUCUGGACGGGUACUGACGCUGAGACGCGAAAGCGUGGGUAGCAAACAGG